rnacentral:rRNA from 1 species
UACGUAGGGGGCAAGCGUUAUCCGGAUUUACUGGGUGUAAAGGGAGCGUAGACGGCAGCGCAAGUCUGGAGUGAAAUGCCGGGGCCCGACCCCGGAACUGCUUUGGAAACUGUGCAGCUCGAGUGCAGGAGAGGUAAGCGGAAUUCCUAGUGUAGCGGUGAAAUGCGUAGAUAUUAGGAGGAACACCAGUGGCGAAGGCGGCUUACUGGACUGUAACUGACGUUGAGGCUCGAAAGCGUGGGGAGCAAACAGG